GUUUGUGACCAACAGAUUGUUGAUGAACAGAAAAGAGCACAUUUGUGUGCAUUUGUGACCACAAACAUCACUACAGGAGAAGAAAUGAUGUUCGACUGCAGAGAUCCUGACUGCCCAUGGAGAUAGGUAGCAGGAUGCUUGGUCCAUUACAUCCUGACAGAUGGGCAACACCCUUAUCAGACAACUACACCCUACACCAACGUUCCACUUGGUAUGUCUCUAAAUGUCAGAACGAGUAACUUCAGUCUUCAAUGUGAUGAAAGAUAAAAAAAAUAUCUUAAGCACAAUGCUGAGCAAAUCAGUGGAAGAGCGUCCUACUAUUGAGGAAUGCCUUCAGGAAGUCAAAACUAUGUGCAAAGACAUAUUGUAGAGUUUACAAUAAGCAGUAAAAUGAUUGGAUAUAAAUAUUGGUGUGAAUUUACAGGUUUCGAUCACCAGUCUUAUCAAAUAUCAACCACAAACAGCUACAGCAAUGUCCAUACUUCAGCCUUCAGUCUUGGAUACAUCAGUACAUCACUAGUGCCAUUAAAUUAAAACGGUAUGUUCCAUUCAACAUUAAGAAUACAGAAGAUCUAAAGAUCAUUGUCUUUUCAUGUUUUCAACUUUGUAAAGUAUGUAUUACUGACAUUACAUUUUCAUUCAUUCAUAUAUUUAUUCACUAUAUAUAUUUUUUAUCUUUUCGUUUUGUUAAAUAGCAAAUCCCAGAUGGCCCUGGUCAGAAACAGAGGGGAAAGUCAUAGAACACUGUUUCAAGAACUACUUUGAGGAAAUGAAGGCUCCUGGAAAAGUGGACUGUGAAAAAUGCAUAAAUGGAAACAAGAUUCUAAAGGAUAAUGGAAGAGACUGGCAAACAGUUAAAUACUUUGUGCUCAACAGAAUAAUUCCGGUUAAGAGAAGUUUGGGUCAACAGUACUGAGCCCAUAAACCCUGCACUCUUGUGAUGUGGAGUAUCAGUGUUGAGUCAUAACUGUGCUGCGACAUUGACGGUCCAUGUAAAUGGAGCAUCAGUGCGUUAUAGCAUUGAAAUGAUUGACUACAGCUGUUUUCAGCUGCUGUUUGGGCCUCUGUUUUGGAAAGACCUGUUAUAACUUUGAUGUAAGCCACUGUAAUUUUGAACUAUUUAAAAAAUACAUUUAAAAUACACAUAUUUUAUUAUUUUCAUUUUGAUUUGUUGUUUUACUUUUCUUUAUACUAUCUA